rnacentral:rRNA from 1 species
GAUGAACGCUAGCGGCAGGCCUAAUACAUGCAAGUCGGACGGGAUUCAGGAGCUUGCUUCUGAUGAGAGUGGCGCACGGGUGCGUAACACGUAUGUAACCUACCUUUAUCAGGGGGAUAGCCUCUCGAAAGAGAGAUUAAGCCCGCAUAAAAUCACAGCACAGCAUUGUGUAAUGAUCAAAUAUUUAUAGGAUAAAGAUGGGCAUGCGGAACAUUAGCUAGAUGGCGGGGUAACGGCCCACCAUGGCGACGAUGUUUAGGGGAUCUGAGAGGAUGGCCACCCACACUGGUACUGAGACACGGACCAGACUCCUACGGGAGGCAGCAGUAAGGAAUAUUGGUCAAUGGGCGGAAGCCUGAACCAGCCAUGCCGCGUGCAGGAAGACGGCCCUACGGGUUGUAAACUGCUUUUAUACGGGAAUAAACCCAGAUACGUGUAUCUGGCUGAAUGUACUGUAAGAAUAAGGAUCGGCUAACUCCGUG